GCCCAUUAUUUAAAAGGAAUGCAUUAUUCCUUAUGAUUAACUCGUAAUAAUGCAUGGAUCAACUCGGGUAGAAUCAAUACACACAAGAUUUGCCCAAGGUUAAUGGGAGUCACAGAGCAGCACCUGCCACCAUUUUAAUGGCAGCAGCUGAAAUAGUUUCCACCUGAAUCUACAACUUUCAGUAAUCUCAGGCAGUGCUGAGACAUUUAUAAAUUACUCAGAACUCAGAUCCCCA